rnacentral:rRNA from 1 species
GGAAGGAUCAUUAAAAAUAUGGUGAUGCUGCCGUGGCACACAUUGUCUUCAUUUCACUCUGAGUACCUUUCCUGUUGCUUCCGUAGGGUUCGGCGAGUCACAUGUGUCGCCUUCUGCCCUUGGGGAUCAAAGAUAUCGAUCCUCAUUGGGGAGAUCCUGCGGGAGGAAAGCAUUCAAACUCUUUGUAUUCGAAUGGCAUUCGGUCUGAUCUUGGUAAGGAAACAUUAAAACUUUCAGCAACGGAUCUCUUGGUUCUCGCAUCGAUGAAGAACGCAGCGAAAUGCGAAAAGUAGUGUGAAUUGCAGAAUUCAGUGAAUCAUCGAAUCUUUGAACGCACAUUGCGCCUCGCGGUAUUCCGUGAGGCAUGCCUGUUUGAGCGUCAUUGAAAGUAGUUCAAGCUUUUAUUUGCUUGGUCGUGGUGGAUGAGGGACUGACUGUUCUCUCACCUCCAAAAUUGAAUGGCGGAUUAACAGCAGGUGCCCUGGCGUUGUAUGACAAAGCCCCCUCGCCUUGGCCGCUGGAGUAAUCCUGCCCGCCAAUCCCCAUGAUAUUUCAAGAUUGACCUCGGAUCAGGUAGGG